rnacentral:rRNA from 1 species
CAAGUCGAGGGGUAGAGGAAGCUUGCUUCCUUGAGACCGGCGCACGGGUGCGUAACGCGUAUGCAAUCUGCCCUGCACUAAGGGAUAGCCCAGAGAAAUUUGGAUUAAUACCUUAUGGUAUAAUGGUGUGGCCUCACAUUAUUAUUAAAGAUUUAUUGGUGCAGGAUGAGCAUGCGUCCCAUUAGCUAGUUGGUAUGGUAACGGCAUACCAAGGCGAUGAUGGGUAGGGGUCCUGAGAGGGAGAUCCCCCACACUGGUACUGAGACACGGACCAGACUCCUACGGGAGGCAGCAGUGAGGAAUAUUGGUCAAUGGGCGCAAGCCUGAACCAGCCAUGCCGCGUGCAGGAUGAAGGUCCUAUGGAUUGUAAACUGCUUUUGUACGGGAAGAAACCACCCUUCGUGAAGGGUCUUGACGGUACCGUAAGAAUAAGGAUCGGCUAACUCCGUGCCAGCAGCCGCGGUAAUACGGAGGAUCCGAGCGUUAUCCGGAAUCAUUGGGUUUAAAGGGUCCGUAGGCGGUUUUGUAAGUCAGUGGGAAAUCCGGCAGCUUAACUGUCGCACUGCCAUUGAUACUGCAGGACUUGAAUAACUGUGAAGUAGCUAGAAUAUGUAGUGUAGCGGUGAAAUGCUUAGAUAUUACAUGGAAUACCGAUUGCGAAGGCAGGUUACUAACAGUUUAUUGACGCUGAUGGACGAAAGCGUGGGGAGCGAACAGGAUUAGAUACCCUGGUAGUCCACGCCGUAAACGAUGGAUACUAGCUGUUUGGUUGUAAGACUGAGUGGCUAAGCGAAAGUGAUAAGUAUCCCACCUGGGGAGUACGGGCGCAAGCCUGAAACUCAAAGGAAUUGACGG